UAAUGGGUCUUUCAUGAUUAUAUGAUAGGUGGUGCAUGGCCGUUCUUAGUUCGUGGAGUGAUCUGUCUGCUUAAUUGCGUUUCAAAUUUUUAACCGAGGACCGGGUUUUGGUUUGGCUAGUGGUCCUACGAUGACUGUGAACUGUCAUGUCUUCGGAUGUACGACUAUCGGUCUAGGAUCACAUGACUUGCCCCUGGGACUCUUUUGAACGCAACGGACGUGAUUGCAACCCCUUGUUGAGAUUAGAGAUAGUCUCGAUAUUCACUGGCCAAACUGGCUGCUUUAUGCAGUCUUGUUGAAUGGUGGAUAAACUCGGGGGACUGCUGACUAUAACC
rnacentral:rRNA from 1 species